UACGUAGGGGGCAAGCGUUGUCCGGAAUCAUUGGGCGUAAAGAGCGUGUAGGCGGCUCGGUAAGUCCGCUGUGAAAGUCCAGGGCUCAACCCUGGAAUGCCGGUGGAAACUGUCGAGCUAGAGUCCGGAAGAGGCGAGUGGAAUUUCUGGUGUAGCGGUGAAAUGCGCAGAUAUCAGGAGGAACACCAAUUGCGAAGGCAGCUCGCUGGGACGUUACUGACGCUGAGACGCGAAAGCGUGGGGAGCAAACAGG
rnacentral:rRNA from 1 species